rnacentral:rRNA from 1 species
GACGAACGCUGGCGGCGUGCUUAACACAUGCAAGUCGAACGGAAAGGCCUUUUCGGAGGUACUCGAGUGGCGAACGGGUGAGUAACACGUGGGUGAUCUGCCCUGCACUCUGGGAUAAGCCUGGGAAACUGGGUCUAAUACCGGAUAGGACCGCACUUUAGUGUGUGUGGUGGAAAGUUUUUUCGGUGUAGGAUGAGCCCGCGGCCUAUCAGCUUGUUGGUGGGGUAAUGGCCUACCAAGGCGGCGACGGGUAGCCGGACUGAGAGGUUGGUCGGCCACAUUGGGACUGAGAUACGGCCCAGACUCCUACGGGAGGCAGCAGUGGGGAAUAGUGCACAAUGGGCGCAAGCCUGAUGCAGCGACGCCGCGUGGGGGAUGACGGCCUUCGGGUUGGAAACUCCUUUCGCCAGGGACGAAGCGUUUUGUGACGGUACCUGGAGAAGAAGCACCGGCUAACUACGUG